GCGAUCAGGUUUUUAAAAGUAUACCUAACGGCAGUUGCGACCUCUAGCACGAAUUGUCAUUUUAACCAAUGGUUAUGAUUCUUAUCUUUCGAUAAGGACUAAUUCUCACAAUUAGAUAAGUUGGAGUAGGCAAAAAUCUCAAUCGCUAAUCACAAUUGGCAGCUAAUACUACACGCUUAUCAUGAAUAGUGGCACAACUCAAAAUGAAAUGUCGUUCGAUUUUAAAUCUUACCAGUAAAAGAUAGAAUAUUAAAUGUAAUAGCAUUUCAUUUUGAGUUGUGCCACUAUUCAUGAUAAGCGUCGAGUUGUAAACCACCUUAAUGUACAUUCAGCAGCAGAAAUUACUAAGCAGGUGAGGUGUUCACUAUGAAUUUGACGCGACUUUAUUGUUAAGAGAAUAAGAGCGUGUCGAGGUUAUUUUGAACACCUCGCCCGCUUAGCAACUUUUGCUGCUGACUGUAGGUGUCAGAAUCCAUUUAAGCUUCUGCACUAACUUGACAGUGACAAAGUGUAACGGUACCAUUACAAACAUCAUGUUUUAUCCUUCUGAGACCCCCGGUACAAAUGUUUGCACACAUUCCACAAUCUAUUUUGAACUUUAAUUGAAUAACAUAGAGUUCCAAAUUCAAAAACAUCAACUGCUUCUGGGUCUCAGGUUAAAGGAAUUUGACGUUUCCGGUCGCGCUAAAACACUGUCCCUUGACAAUUUGGUGCAGAGUUAGCUUAGACGGAUUCUAUCAAUCACUGUGAUUAUAUAACCACUGAAUUGACUGUUGUAAAAUUAAGGAAAAUCUUUCAUGACAUGUAUGUAUGUGCUAUUAUUUACUUAUUUUAUUAAAUUGGUUAAAUAAGGUGCAGGCGUAUAGCGCGACAUAAAAUAGUAGAAAUUAAAUAAAAUGAAACUAAAAAAAAAACCAUAUUAUAUUGUGGCCAUGUAAGCAUUUUACGUCAAAAAUGCGACAGUUACGUAGAAAGUGGCGCCCCCAUUUACUUUCUACUAUUUUAUGUGGCACCGUAGAAGCGCUAUUGAUUAAUUUUAUAAAACAAAUGCUUAUAUCUGUAACGAUAUACACCUGAGGGCAAUGGAAACGGAUACAAUUUAUGUCGUUUCUAUACAAAUAACACCCGUUUUACACUCCUGGUUGUAGUUACAGAUAAUAACGCAAAAUAGGUAAUAUUUUAUUGUAUGUCUAUAUUAUUUAAUUAGACUUAUGCUCAAAACGAUACUUAAUUUGAUGAAUUUAUGGACCAAAUCGCAUUAUUUAAGUUUAUAUGGAUAAUAAUUAAAUACGAGUGCAAAGUUUUAACUUUUAUAAUAAGUGUGUAUUUUAUUUUAGACAUCUUGUACCAAUGGCCAUACUGGUAUCACAGGGUUAUAAGACUAACAUAACCCUAAGUCACGUUAUACAGUUAACACAGAUGCGGACUUGCAUGCCGCUCAGGUGUGUGACUGGGAUAGCGCCAUGUACGUAUAUAGUCAUGUCCCUCUCACACACCGGAGCACCCAAUGUAAAGACCGCUUUAAGCAGCUGAGCCAGUGUUGCUUUGUAUAUUAAUAUUGUCAUUUUAAUGUAAUUAUCAAUAUAAAUGUAUUUAACAUAUCCUUGCUAUAAUGGAGUAGUAAAAUGAUGAAAGACUGUAUGUUCAAAUAUUCCCUAAUCGAUAUGAAAUGAUAAGCCUCGAAAAUAAUUUUCAAGUAUAUUACGCGUUUAAGUCCUGUAUUAGUAACUAAUGAGCCUAAAAGUCCGUCCAAACGAGGCAUCGAAUAAACCAAUAGGUUAGUGAGUUUAGCAGCAUUUUGAAUUGCUCUCUGCAAGAAGAAUUUUGUAGUUUUUAUUUGCCUUGACAGUGUGAAUUGUAUGGAUAGAAUAUUCUUUUUAUAUGCAUUGCAGCUAUAUUACAUUUACCUUUUUUUCAAUAAAUACUCUUAAUACUGA